rnacentral:lncRNA from 1 species
AGAGGACCAUGUCAGCAUGGCUCCAAGGCCGGGCAAUCAGGUUGGCCAGUGUCAGACCCUGAACUCAACGAUGCUUGCAAAUCCCAGACAGACGCUCAGCCUACCUCCCAGGGGAUGACGAAGCCAGAUGCGCGGCCAGCAUUUUUCCAGUAGUUGAGGGCGAGUUCCUUCGCCGGUAGUGAAAUAUCUUGGACUUGGGGGUCCCAAGAGCUUCUCGGAUGUGGACUCCGAGCUCUGCUCUCCUGCCUCUCCCCUCCCUUAGAAGUUGGUCCUGCGGCUUCAACCCAGACGACGCCGAACAGCUGUGUACUAGACAGACUCAGCUUCCUGCGGUUCCAGCUAGGUCCCUCUACAGUAGUCAGAGCCUCGCUCCAUCCAGGCUCAACGCUCCUCCUCUUCCACCCUCAGCACCUCCUCCCCUCUCAGGCUCGUCCCCCAUCCCCC